rnacentral:rRNA from 1 species
UGCAAGUCGAACGCGAAAGCCCCGCAAGGGGUAAGUAGAGUGGCAAACGGGUGAGUAACACGUGGGNGANCUGCCUCAGAGUGGGGGAUAACGACCCGAAAGGGUCGCUAAUACCGCAUAACAUCCUGCCUUUGGAUAGGUGGAGAUCAAAGCCGGGGAUCCGCAAGGACCAGGCGCUUAGAGAGGAGCCCGCGGCCGAUUAGCUAGUUGGUGAGGUAACGGCUCACCAAGGCGACGAUCGGUAUCCGGCCUGAGAGGGCGGACGGACACACUGGGACUGAGACACGGCCCAGACUCCUACGGGAGGCAGCAGUGGGGAAUUGUUCGCAAUGGGCGCAAGCCUGACGACGCAACGCCGCGUGGAGGACGAAGAUCUUCGGGUCGUAAACUCCUUUCGAUCGGGAAGAAUGGCUCCGGGGUUAAUAGCCCUGGAGAGUGACGGUACCGAGAGAAGAAGCCCCGGCUAACUCUGUGCCAGCAGCCGCGGUAAUACAGGGGGGGCAAGCGUUGUUCGGAAUUACUGGGCGUAAAGGGCUCGUAGGCGGCCAACUAAGUCCGACGUGAAAUCCCAAAGCUUAACUUUGGAACUGCGUCGGAUACUGGAUGGCUUGAAUUCGGGAGAGGGAUGCAGAAUUCCAGGUGUAGCGGUGAAAUGCGUAGAUAUCUGGAGGAAUACCGGUGGCGAAGGCGGCAUCCUGGACCGACAUUGACGCUGAGGAGCGAAAGCUAGGGGAGCAAACGGGAUUAGAUACCCCGGUAGUCCUAGCCCUAAACGAUGAAUGUUUGGUGUGGCGGGUAUCGAUCCCUGCCGUGCCGAAGCUAACGCAUUAAACAUUCCGCCUGGGGAGUACGGUCGCAAGGCUG